CCCGGUUUAAGCGUGUAGGUGUGUGUUCCAGGUAAAUCCGGUUCACUUUAACACUGAGGCGUGAUGACGAGGCACUACGGUGCUGAAGCAACAAAUGCCCUGCUUCCAGGAAAAGCCUCUAAGCAUCAGGUAACAUCAAAUCGUACCCCAAACCGACACAGGUGGUCAGGUAGAGAAUACCAAGGCGCUUGAGAGAACUCGGGUGAAGGAACUAGGCAAAAUGGUGCCGUAACUUCGGGAGAAGGCACGCUGACACGUAGGUGAAGUGAUUUACUCAUGGAGCUGAAGUCAGUCGAAGAUACCAGCUGGCUGCAACUGUUUAUUAAAAACACAGCACUGUGCAAACACGAAAGUGGACGUAUACGGUGUGACGCCUGCCCGGUGCCGGAAGGUUAAUUGAUGGGGUCAGCGCAAGCGAAGCUCCUGAUCGAAGCCCCGGUAAACGGCGGCCGUAACUAUAACGGUCCUAAGGUAGCGAAAUUCCUUGUCGGGUAAGUUCCGACCUGCACGAAUGGCGUAAUGAUGGCCAGGCUGUCUCCACCCGAGACUCAGUGAAAUUGAACUCGCUGUGAAGAUGCAGUGUACCCGCGGCAAGACGGAAAGACCCCGUGAACCUUUACUAUAGCUUGACACUGAACAUUGAGCCUUGAUGUGUAGGAUAGGUGGGAGGCUUUGAAGUGUGGACGCCAGUCUGCAUGGAGCCGACCUUGAAAUACCACCCUUUAAUGUUUGAUGUUCUAACGUGGACCCGUAAUCCGGGUUGCGGACAGUGUCUGGUGGGUAGUUUGACUGGGGCGGUCUCCUCCUAAAGAGUAACGGAGGAGCACGAAGGUUGGCUAAUCCUGGUCGGACAUCAGGAGGUUAGUGCAAUGGCAUAAGCCAGCUUGACUGCGAGCGUGACGGCGCGAGCAGGUGCGAAAGCAGGUCAUAGUGAUCCGGUGGUUCUGAAUGGAAGGGCCAUCGCUCAACGGAUAAAAGGUACUCCGGGGAUAACAGGCUGAUACCGCCCAAGAGUUCAUAUCGACGGCGGUGUUUGGCACCUCGAUGUCGGCUCAUCACAUCCUGGGGCUGAAGUAGGUCCCAAGGGUAUGGCUGUUCGCCAUUUAAAGUGGUACGCGAGCUGGGUUUAGAACGUCGUGAGACAGUUCGGUCCCUAUCUGCCGUGGGCGCUGGAGAACUGAGGGGGGCUGCUCCUAGUACGAGAGGACCGGAGUGGACGCAUCACUGGUGUUCGGGUUGUCAUGCCAAUGGCACUGCCCGGUAGCUAAAUGCGGAAGAGAUAAGUGCUGAAAGCAUCUAAGCACGAAACUUGCCCCGAGAUGAGUUCUCCCUGAGACUUAGAGUCUCCUGAAGGAACGUUGAAGACGACGACGUUGAUAGGCCGGGUGUGUAAGCGCAGCGAUGCGUUGAGCUAACCGGUACUAAUGAACCGUGAGG
rnacentral:rRNA from 1 species